GCCGUGAAAGCCCUCGAUUCUUUGUCUAUCGGUAGACGGCCUACGCACGGGAACGACGGACAUUUUUUAACUACUUGAUAUUCCCUCUUUACCUCGCUCCUUAAGUUGACGUCUAUGCGCGCAGGCGGGAAUCUAGCGCGCUUUCUAUCAAGGUUUGUUUUUAAUCCUCAUUCCCCCUGCCGCGGUGACGGGGCCUAA
rfam:Coxiella burnetii RSA 493, complete genome.